UGAUGGCAGAGCAGUUUGAAGUGGCUUAAUGGCCCAUUUUCUUCACUAACCAAAUAAUAAGGAUUCAUGAUCACUGGCACCACCUUCUAGGACAGCCAUCUACUCCCAAUUUUGUGGGCUCAGACUUUGCUCUUGAUUUUGGAGGGAGUUUUCUGAGCAUUAAAACUCAGGGAAACUCUUAAUCAGAGAGUCUGCAUUAGGUUAAAAUGAACAUUUCUAAUAGAAGAUGGGGAAAGAGGC